GAAUAAGAAGCGAUUAAUUGCAGUCAGUUUCGACCUGGCCUUAGGUAAACAUUACCCUCAUUCU
rnacentral:tRNA from 1 species